rnacentral:misc_RNA from 1 species
GAAAUGCGAUAAGUAAUGUGAAUUGCAGAAUUCAGUGAAUCAUCGAAUCUUUGAACGCACAUUGCGCCCGCCAGUAUUCUGGCGGGCAUGCCUGUCCGAGCGUCAUUUCAACCAUCGAGCCCCCGGGCUUGUGUUGGGGACCUGCGGCUGCCCGCAGGCCCUGAAAACCAGUGGCGGGCUCGCUGUCACACCGAGCGUAGUAGCAAUCACCUCGCUCAGGGCGUGCUGCGGGUUCCGGCCGUUAAACAGCCUUACAAAACCCAAGGUUGACCUCGGAUCAGGUAGGAAGACCCGCUGAACUUAAGC